rnacentral:lncRNA from 1 species
AACGGACGCCAUGACACUUGUGUAGCUGUGCCGUCUGUCUUCAGAACACUCUACUUCCUUUGUUGCUCACAAUUGUGCCCUGUUUUCUCUUCUAUCUGUAGUCAAAGAAGUAGAAUAUGGACAGAAAUGGCGGCUACAUCCUCUUUAACACAAGACAGAAUGACAAAAGCCAAGAAGAUGCAGAUAUGGAGGAUUGACGAAGUUAAGUGACAUGGCUUUUAGUUUUGCUUCUACCUGCACAACUCAUCACUUAAGGACCUCUGAUUAUCCAGAGUUGAAAAAAUGUUCAAUAAAAAUUACAUGUUGCUAUGGAAACAUGAAAAAUCACAGAUACCUGCUCUACUCAGAGGUAGAUUUUUUUGCCCUGCUCAGCAAAAGAGACAUUUUGGCCAAUGCCAAAUUCAACCGAUCUGAAUUCAAUGGUGGAAAUUUGCAAUUAAAGAUGGGGAAAGAUGACUGGUAGGAAUACAGCUCUACAAAAGGAAGGACAUGGAGAUACAUAAGGAAGAAAUUCCCAUUUCCUGCUCCAGAUUCAGAACGAGAUUAUUGGCAACAAAUUAUUAUUCUAAAAAAUAUCUAUCACAUCUGAAGUUUUGGAGUCAUCUUUCUGUUGCUUUUGAAAGCAAUAACAUGUAACAGAGGGCAUGAAGAUGUGAGGGAGAAGACCCAGAUUAAAUGGAUGUUUAAUAUGCAAAUGAUAUUGAAGGCUUUGAGUUAGAAGUAUCUCUGGAAAGCACACAUGGUAUGAACUUUUUGUACACUGUUUUCUGCAAAAUCCUCAUACCCAAGACAGGCCAUGAGCAGGUGGGUAGAGACAUAAGAAGGAGGUUCUGUGGGUUGGACUCUGGGACUCUUACCCUCAGCUCAACCAGAGCUAAUGGGUUUGUUUUUAACCUGUUUUAUAUACUAGGGUUCAAGAUAUGAUUGUUGAAAAGAAGGCAGUAGGACUAGAAAAGGGAAUGCUUUAGCACAUUGAGUUGAACCAGAGGUUGCAUAAGAGCCGGGGCUAGAUCUCACAGUUUCCUUUUUCACUACCCAGGACUGCUCCUUCGUGUGCAUUCUCAGAUAUGAAGGUGAGCUGCCUGAUGGCAUAAAGGGAAUUAAAUUGCAUUCCAAUGAUCAGCACUGGAUUCACAUGUUAUGUUUAAUACUGGAAUCCCUGCUAUGGGCAAGUAGAAUUCCUGUGUGUUUGCUUAGAGCAAAGGGCUAUUCACAUAU